ACUCAGAAUUACUGGGAUUUUCUCCAGCGAAGGCAACACAGGUAGUGCUUACCUUUGGGACAUCAGAGAUUUGUUGAUGUAGAAGCAGCAUUCUUCUCGGAGAAACAGGCAAAGAUCACCUGCUUUCACUGUAAGGAUAUCAAGCCCCAUCGGUUUUGAAGCACCACUGCUGCCAGGGAAUCGAUCUGUCUUUGGAUGGUAUUGUGUCUACAACCAGGAUCAGUAGAAGAUCUUUUCUGUGGAUUACUCCUAGUUCGGGGAAAAGAAACACCAACAUGCAAACUCCUGAGCAGCAGACGACGAUAUACCUGAGUGCCACAGAGAAUUGAUGUUGUUUUGGGCUACAGGGCACGGUGGCAGAGAUGAGGUUGUGGUUUUAUGGUAGUCUAGGGAGCUUAGUGUUUCUAGAGAACGUGUCCCGGAUGUCUUAAAAUAGUCUGCCAUGCCAAAAAGAGAAAAGGUAUGGGUCAUGGCAGCAUCAAAGUCAGGGCAGCGGAUAAAAGACGAGGUGAGGUUACUUAGCAGUAUCACUGGAGAGGCAGUAAAUGCCAAUUGUGAGUUACUUCCAGGGGGUACACAUAGCCAGCAAUUUUUAAAGCAACCAGGCCGAGGUCAGGGUCUGAAGCAGAAGGUGAAAUGAGAGGUUAGUGCCAUUUAUGAGGGGGGAUGUCAAGGAAGUAAGGACCUUGGAGGAGUGUUUGAUUACUUCUCCUAUUUUUCUGAUAUCUAGAGGUUUGACAAUUGGGAUAUAUUUUCUCUGGAUGUGAACAGUACUCACUAGGGACCCAGAUUGGUUUUUACGAUAGAGCUUACCAACAUCUCCUGUUUCCUACCUGGGAUUCUAUGGGUCUUGUAUAUAGAAGAAAAGAGUCUUGUUUUGUUGAUAGAAGUGAUUGGUCUGUGAUCCUAGCAUAUGUAUCUGGCAAGACCAAUAUGGGCAGCCCCCAUAUUCAUCUGGCCAUUUUUUUUUUUACAAUCAUCUUUUGUCUGAUCAAAGGAGAAGCAAACAAAGAGGUCAUCAUAUUUAGAUGGAAUGGUGGAUAUAGGGAUGGUAGUAAUUUGGAUCAGCUCCUGGCAUCCGGCUAUGGAGCAGUUUCUUGACCCUAUUUGGAAAGACUGUUAUCAGUGGAGGUUUCUUGAAUCUCAAACCUCCAGAAGUAAGUGCUACCCUGGAUGGAAACAAACAUCAGGGAGAAAAUGAGAAGCCCAUGUCUCAUCCAGUAGGAUCAAGCACAGCUGUCAGAGUAGAGUCUCAUUUUUCUGGGAUUGGGGACAAAAUGGGUGAUCUUGACAUCUGGAACUUAAGAGAUCAGGGUCCUGUUGGGAUUGAUGUGUAAGAAGAAGAGUCAUAGCUGAGCAGUGGUGGCGCACGCCUUUAAUCCCAGCACUCGGGA